rnacentral:rRNA from 1 species
UGACCGUGAUAAUGUAGCGUAAUCAAUAGCCAAUUAAUUGUUGGCCGGUAUGAAUGGCGUCACGAGGGCCCCACUGUCUUGAGAGGACUCUCCAUGAAAUUGAAUUCGUAGUGAAGAUGCUACGUCCAUAUUGUAAGACGAAAAGACCCCAUUGAGCUUUACUAAAGACUUGUAUGGCUCGAAAGAACUUAAAUAAAAAGUUUAGAUAAUGUGGGAGCCGUUUUUGGUUAAUGAAACACCACUCUUUUAUUUUAAAAGAGCUAACCUUGUAGGGAAAAUGCAAGUUGGAUAGUUUGGUUGGGGCGACCACCUUUUAAAAGGUAACGAAGGUGAGCUUAAGGUCCGUAGUUAAUAGCUGGUGGCCUGACUGCAAGGGGAACACCCCGAGCAGACACGUCUUUAGGGACGUGGGUUAUAGUGACCCGUCAUUUUAGAGUGGAAUAAUUGACGAUCAACGAAUAAAAGCUACCAUGGGG